rnacentral:rRNA from 1 species
AAACCCUGCACUUACAAGCUGUGGAAGCACAUUUCUUGUGUGACCGCGUACUUUUUGUAGAACGGGCCAACGAGUUACGUUAAGUAGCAAGGUUAAGCACUUGAGGUGCGGAGCCGUAGCGAAAGCGAGUUUUAACUGAGCGUUCAGUUACUUGACGUAGACCCGAAACCGGGCGACCUACCCAUGAGCAGGAUGAAGCGAAAGU